GCUGCCAUAGCUCAGUGGUAGAGCGCCACCUUGGUAAGGUGGAGGUCCUGGGUUCAAGCCCCAGUGGCAGCU
rnacentral:tRNA from 1 species